rnacentral:rRNA from 1 species
ACGCUGGCGGCACGCCUAACACAUGCAAGUCGAACGAAGUAGCAAUACUUAGUGGCAGACGGGUGAGUAACAUGUAGGUAUCUGCCCUUUGGCCUGGAAUAACACGAGGAAACUUGUGCUAAUACCGGAUAAGUCUUUACGGAGAAAGCUUUAUGCACCAUUGGAUGAGCCUGCACUUGAUUAGUUUGUUGGUGGGGUAAUGGCCUACCAAGACUGUGAUCAAUAGCUGAUUUGAGAGGAUGAUCAGCCACAUUGGGACUGAGACACGGCCCAAACUCCUACGGGAGGCAGCAGUGGGGAAUCUUGCACAAUGGAGGAAACUCUGAUGCAGCGAUGCCGCGUGAGUGAAGAAGGCCUUUGGGUUGUAAAGCUCUUUCGUCGGGGAAGAAAAUGACUGUACCCGAAUAAGAAGGUCCGGCUAACUUCGUGCCAGCAGCCGCGGUAAUACGAAGGGACCUAGCGUAGUUCGGAAUUACUGGGCUUAAAGAGUUCGUAGGUGGUUGAAAAAGUUAGUGGUGAAAUCCCAGAGCUUAACUCUGGAACUGCCAUUAAAACUUUUCAGCUAGAGUAUGAUAGAGGAAAGCAGAAUUUCUAGUGUAGAGGUGAAAUUCGUAGAUAUUAGAAAGAAUACCAAUUGCGAAGGCAGCUUUCUGGAUCAUUACUGACACUGAGGAACGAAAGCAUGGGUAGCGAAGAGGAUUAGAUACCCUCGUAGUCCAUGCCGUAAACGAUGUGUGUUAGACGUUGGAAAUUUAUUUUCAGUGUCGCAGCGAAAGCGAUAAACACACCGCCUGGGGAGUACGACCGCAAGGGUUAAAACUCAAAUGAAUUGACGGGGACCCGCACAAGUAGUGGAGCAUGUGGUUUAAUUCGAAGAUACGCGCAGAACCUUACCAACACUUGACAUGUUCGUCGCGACUCUAAGAGAUUAGAGUUUUCGGUUCGGCCGGACGAAACACAGGUGCUGCAUGGCUGUCGUCAGCUCGUGUCGUGAGAUGUUGGGUUAAGUCCCGCAACGAGCGCAACCCUCACUUUUAGUUGCCAUCAUUAAGUUGGGCACUCUGAAAGAACUGCCAGUGAUAAGCUGGAGGAAGGUGGGGAUGACGUCAAGUCCUCAUGGCCCUUACGUGUUGGGCUACACACGUGCUACAAUGGUAUCUACAACAGGAAGCAAAACUGCGAAGUUAAGCAAAUCCCUAAAAGAUACCUCAGUUCGGAUUGCACUCUGCAACUCGAGUGCAUGAAGCUGGAAUUACUAGUAAUCGUGGAUCAGCGUGCCACGGUGAAUGCGUUCCCGGGUCUUGUACACACCGC